UUCGGGACGCCGGCGAGUGGCGAACGGGUGAGUAACACGUGGAGACCUGCCCUGGGGUGGGGGAUAACAGCUAGAAAUGGCUGCUAAUACCGCAUACGCCUUACGAGGGAAAGAUUUAUUGCCCCAGGAGGGUUCCGCGUCGGAUUAGCUUGUUGGUGGGGUAACGGCCUACCAAGGCGACGAUCCGUAGCUGGUCUUAGAGGAUGAUCAGCCAUACUGGGACUGAGACACGGCCCAGACUCCUACGGGAGGCAGCAGUGGGGAAUAUUGCGCAAUGGGGGAAACCCUGACGCAGCGAUGCCGCGUGGGUGAAUAAGGCCUUAGGGUUGUAAAGCCCUUUCAGUGGGAACGAUGAUGACGGUACCCACAGAAGAAGCCCCGGCUAACUCCGUGCCAGCAGCCGCGGUAAUACGGAGGGGGCGAGCGUUGU
rnacentral:rRNA from 1 species